CCCUGGUUAGCUCAGUUGGUAGAGCGCUCCACUUGUAAUGGAGAGGUCCCAGGUUCGAUACCUGGGCCAGGCG
rnacentral:tRNA from 2 species